rnacentral:rRNA from 1 species
GUGGGGAAUAUUGGACAAUGGGGGGAACCCUGAUCCAGCCAUGCCGCGUGUGUGAAGAAGGCCUUUUGGUUGUAAAGCACUUUAAGCGAGGAGGAGGCUACUGUUAUUAAUACUAACAGAUAGUGGACGUUACUCGCAGAAUAAGCACCGGCUAACUCUGUGACAGCAGCCGCGGUAAUACAGAGGGUGUGAGCGUUAAUCGGACUUACUGGGCGUACAGCGUGCGUAGGCGGCUCCGUAAGUUGGAUGUGAAAUCCCCGAGCUUAACUUGGGAAUUGCAUUCAAUACUGUGAAGGUAGAGUAUGGGAGAGGAUGGUAGAAUUCCAGGUAUAGCGGUGAAAUGCGUAGAGAUCUGGAGGAAUACCGAUGGCGAAGGCAGCCAUCUGGCCUAAUACUGACGCUGAGGUACGAAAGCAUGGGGAGCAAACAGGAUUAGAUACCCGUGUAGUCC